UAAGGAGUGUUUGCAACAAAA
rnacentral:piRNA from 1 species